GAUGAAGAACGCAGCGAAAUGCGAUAAGUAAUGCGAAUUGCAGAAUCCGUGAGUCAUCGAAUCUUUGAACGCACAUUGCGCCCCCUGGUAUUCCGGGGGGCAUGCCUGUUCGAGCGUCAUUUCACCACUCAAGCCUCGCUUGGUAUUGGGCAACGCGGUCCGCCGCGUGCCUCAAAUCGUCCGGCUGGGUCUUCUGUCCCCUAAGCGUUGUGGAAACUAUUCGCUAAAGGGUGUUCGGGAGGCUACGCCGUAAAACAACCCCAUUUCUAAGGUUGACCUCGGAUCAGGUAGGGAUACCCGCUGAACUUAAGCAUAUCAAUAAGCGGAGGA
rnacentral:misc_RNA from 1 species